UCGCGGCUUAUCACCGGCAGUCCCCUUAGAGUGCCCAACUGAAUGAUGGCAACUAAGGGCGAGGGUUGCGCUCGUUGCGGGACUUAACCCAACAUCUCACGACACGAGCUGACGACAGCCAUGCAGCACCUGUGUACCGGCCUUGCGGCGGGGACAUUUCUGCCACCCUUCCAGUACAUGUCAAGCCCAGGUAAGGUUCUUCGCGUUGCAUCGAAUUAAACCACAUGCUCCACCGCUUGUGCGGGCCCCCGUCAAUUUCUUUGAGUUUUAAUCUUGCGACCGUACUCCCCAGGCGGGAUACUUAACGCGUUAGCUUCGUCACUGAAGGGGUCAAUACCUCCAACAACAAGUAUCCAUCGUUUACGGCGUGGACUAC
rnacentral:misc_RNA from 1 species